GAUUUCUGGGGCAAGGGAACCGUGGUCACCGUCUCCUCAGGGGCCUCGUCUGCCCCAAAUCUCUUCCCCCUUGUCUCCUGUGAGAACCUCCUGCUGGACGAGAGCCUGGUGGCCAUGGGCUGCCUGGCCCGGGACUUCCUGCCCAGCUCCGUCUCCUUCUCCUGGACGUACAAGAACAGCAGCGCCGUCGGCACCAGCGCCAUCACGAGCUUCCCGCCUGUCCUGAGGGAGGGCAGCUACCUGGCCACCUCCCAGUUGUUCCUGCCCUCGGCAGACAUCCUCAGGGGCUCAGAUGACUACGUGACGUGCAAUGUCAAGCACACCAGCGGUGACAGAAAAGUGAAAAUUCCCCUCACACCACCCGAAGACCUGCCCCCCAACGUGACCGUCUUCACCCCGCCCCGUGACGCCUUCUCCAGCAAUAGCCAGCGCACAUCCAAGCUCCUCUGCGAGGCCUCCGGCUUCAGCCCCAGGCAGAUCUCCGUGUCCUGGCUGCGGGACGGGAAGCAGGUGGAUUCUGGGGUCACCAUGGGCAAAGUGGAGGCUGAGCCCAAAGGGUCCGGGCCCUUGACCUACAGGGUCACCAGCUCCCUGGUCAUCACCGAAAUCCAGUGGCUCAGCCAGAGUGUGUUCACCUGCCAAGUGGAACACGGAGACCAGAUCUUCAAGAAGAACGUGUCCUCCAUGUGCAGCUCCAGUGCGUCCACCGGCAUCAGAAUCUUCACCACGCCCCCCUCCUUCGCCAGCAUCUUCCUGACCAAGACAGCAACACUGUCUUGUCUGGUCACAGACCUGGCCACCUACGAUAGCCUGGACAUCUCCUGGACCCGCCAGAAUGGCGAGGUUCUGAAAACCCGCAUGAACGUCUCUGAGAGCCACCCCAAUGCCACCUUCAGCGCCAGAGGCGAGACGACCAUGUGUGUGGAGGACUGGCAGUCAGGAGAAGAGUUCACGUGCACGGUGACCCACACGGACCUGCCCUCGCCGCUGAAGCAGACCGUCUUCAAGCCCAAGGACGUCGGCAGGCACGUGCCCUCCGUGUACGUGCUGCCACCAACCCGGGAGCAGCUGGGCCUGCAGGAGCUGGCCUCGAUCACCUGCCUGGUGAAGGGCUUCUCCCCUUCAGACGUGUUCGUGCGGUGGAUGCAGAGGGGGCAGCCCAUGGCCCCCAGCACGUACGUGACCAGCGCCCCGAUGCCCGAGCCCCAGACCCCAGACCUCUACUUCGUGUACAGCAUCCUGACCGUGAACACAGAAGACUGGCUCAGCGGGGAGACGUACACCUGCGUCGUGGGCCACGAGGCUCUGCCCCACUCGGUGACCGAGAGGACCGUGGACAAGUCCACCGGUAAACCCACCCUGUACAACGUGUCCCUGGUCCUGUCUGACACAGCCAGCACCUGCCAGUGACCGCCAGGCCACCCCUCACGGCGGUGCCCGGAGCCUCUGGCUGACCUGUCACUGUGUGUGUGCGUGCAGGCAAACUGACUGUGUCAAUGGGGUGAGAUGUCGCAUUCUAUAAAAAUUAGAAAUAAAAAGAUCCGUUCAAAA